rnacentral:lncRNA from 1 species
CCCUCGCGCGCAGGCUCUUGGGAGAGCGUCACCCGGGCUAUAAAAGCGUGCGCGCACCGUUCAGAAGUCUCUUUGGCUGCGAUCCGCCUACGAGUAUGUAGUUGUAUGGUGGGGAUGAUAUCUUGGGCCUUAUUUGUGAGUGGCCGAGAUGCGGGAGACACAAGGUGGCUAUGGUGCUGGCCGAAAGCCAUCAACUCUGCAAGAGCGCCGUGAAGGUUAGCGCGACGACCACCAUGUAAAGCCGAUACGGUGUUGGGCGGCGUGACGCAAGUUCGCCACCGCUGGGUCGGAUGGAAACGCCGGGACCCGUUGCUGUUGAACAGUGGAGGAAGUGUUAAGGUACUGUAGUGGUUGAGAUCGUCUCUGGUCAACUUACAGGGAAUCUUCGCUUUUAAUUUUUGAAAAUUGAAUAUUUUAUAUUAAAUAAAAGAUGUUUGGUGUGUAAUAAGACUGUG